AUGAGCACCUUCAUUGGAAAAAAUCUGCACUGUGCUAGUCUGAUGAGACAGCGAGAAAAUGAGGAGUUCAAGUCAGCUCCUGGGCUCCUGUUGUUCUGGCUUCAUGGUGCUCAGUGUGACAUCCAGAUGACACAGUCUCCUCCCUCCUUGUCUGCAUCUCUGGGAGACAAAGUCACCAUCACUUGCCAGGCAAGUCAAAACAUUAACAAGUAUAUAGCUUGGUAUCAGCAAACGCCUGGAAAAGCUCCUAGGCUGCUCAUACGUUACACAUCUACACUAGAGUCCGGCAUCCCAUCGAGGUUCAGUGGCAGUGGAUCUGGGAGAGAUUAUUCAUUCAGCAUCAGCAACGUGGAGUCUGAAGAUAUUGCAAGUUAUUACUGUCUACGGUAUGAUAACCUUCCUCCCACAGUGAUACAAGUCAUAACAUAA